UACAGAGGGGGCAAGCGUUGUUCGGAAUUACUGGGCGUAAAGGGCGCGUAGGCGGCCGCCUAAGUCAGGGGUGAAAUCCUGGAGCUCAACUCCAGAACUGCCUUUGAUACUGAGGAUCUUGAGUUCGGGAGAGGUGAGUGGAACUGCGAGUGUAGAGGUGAAAUUCGUAGAUAUUCGCAAGAACACCAGUGGCGAAGGCGGCUCACUGGCCCGUUACUGACGCUGAGGCACGAAAGCGUGGGGAGCAAACAGG
rnacentral:rRNA from 1 species